rnacentral:misc_RNA from 1 species
AAGUCGUAACAAGGUUUUCGUAGGUGAACCUGCGGAAGGAUCAUUAGUGAAACAUAAGAGUGCUCUUUAUUGAGGCUCGUUUAACUAUCCAUUACACUUUGUGCAUUUGAAACAUUACUUGGAUGCUUUGGGCUUCGGUCCUCUGUGUUGCUAUCAAGUAUCUUUACACAACCCCAUUGCUUUACAUGAGAUGAUGAUGUUACAUAAUUUGAAAUGAAAGAAACAACUUUCAGCAACGGAUGUCUUGGCUCUC